GACGAACGCUGGCGGCGUGCUUAACACAUGCAAGUCGAACGGAAAGGCCCCUUUGGGGGUACUCCAGUGGCGAACGGGUGAGUAACACGUGAGUAACCUGCCCUUGACUUCGGGAUAACUUCAGGAAACUGGGGCUAAUACCGGAUAGGAAUCCUUGCUGCAUGGUGGGGGUUGUAAAGCUUCGGCGGUUUUGGAUGGACUCGCGGCUUAUCAGCUUGUUGGUGGGGUAGUGGCUUACCAAGGCUUUGACGGGUAGCCGGCCUGAGAGGGCGACCGGCCACAGUGGGACUGAGAUACGGCCCAGACUCCUGCGGGAGGCAGCAGGGGGGAAUAUUGCACAAUGGGCGGAAGCCUGAUGCAGCAAAGCCGCGGGCGGGAGGACGGGCUUCGGGGUGAAAACCGCUUUCAGCAGGGGCGGAGCUGGUGGUGACGGUACCUGCAGAAGAAGCACCGGCUAACUACGUG
rnacentral:rRNA from 1 species